UACGUAGGGUGCGAGCGUUAAUCGGAAUUACUGGGCGUAAAGCGUGCGCAGGCGGUUCGUCGUGUCCGAUGUGAAAGCCCCGGGCUCAACCUGGGAAUGGCAUUGGAAACUGGCGGACUCGAGUGUGGCAGAGGGGGGUGGAAUUCCGCGUGUAGCAGUGAAAUGCGUAGAGAUGCGGAGGAACACCGAUGGCGAAGGCAGCCCCCUGGGCCGACAUUGACGCUCAGGCACGAAAGCGUGGGGAGCAAACAGG
rnacentral:rRNA from 1 species